rnacentral:rRNA from 1 species
AUGGAGCCAGCGGCGGCGACGAUGCUCCCGCGAGCACUACCCGUUCUGCUGCUGCUUGCGGCGGCCGUGACGGUGAGCGCGGAGAGGGCGCCGACGCUGGUGUUCAUCCUGGCGGGGCAGUCCAACAUGGGGGGCCGGGGCGGCGCCACGGUGGGCGACCGUUGGGACGGCGUGGUGCCGCCCGAGUGCGCGCCGUCCCCGCGCACGCUCCGCCUCUCCCCGUCCCUCCGCUGGGAGGAGGCCCGCGAGCCGCUGCACGCCGGCGUGGACGUCGGCAACGUGGUGGGCGUGGGCCCCGGGAUGCCGUUCGCACACGCGCUGCUUCGGUCCCCGGCCUGCCCGCGCGGCGCCGUGGUGGGGCUCGUCCCCUGCGCGCAGGGCGCCACGCCCAUCGUCAACUGGACCCGCGGCUCGGAAAUGUACGACCGGAUGGUGACCCGCGCCCGCGUCGCCGGCGCAGGGACGGGCAGGGUCGCCGCCUUGCUGUGGUUCCAGGGGGAGGCCGACGCCAUGCGGCGCGAGGACGCGCUGGCCUACGCCGGGAGGAUGGAGGCGUUUGUCCGGGACGUCCGCCGGGACCUUGCUAUGCCCAACCUCCUCGUCAUCCAGGUUGGGAUCGCGACCACGCAGAAGCAGGGGAAGUGGCUGGACCUGGUGAGGAAGCAGCAGAGGGCGGUGCGGCUGCCGAACCUCAAAUACGUGGACGCCAUGGGUCUCCCCAUCGCCAACGACAUGACGCACCUCACCACCCAGGCACAGGUCCGGCUCGGCAAGAUGCUUGCCGACGCGUACAUCGCCACGCUCUGA